CGACAAGAAAAGUUGACAUCAUUAAAUUGGAACGAAAAAGAAGUAGCAUGGUCCCUUGCACAAAGAAUGACACCCACAAUCGUGAAGCUUUCUACUUUUUU
rnacentral:snRNA from 1 species